ACCAAGGCGAUCGAGUGAAUCGUGGUUAAGGAACUCGGCAAAAUACCCCCGUAACUUCGGGAGAAGGGGGGCCCAGAGGGUGACGGAGACUAGCGCUCCUGAGCCUGAACGGCCGCAGAGACCAGGGAGAAGCGACUGUUUACUAAAAACACAGGUCCGUGCCAAGUCGCAAGACGAUGUAUACGGACUGACGCCUGCCCGGUGCUGGAACGUUAAGGGGACCGGUUAGCCUCACGGCGAAGCUGAGAACUUAAGCGCCAGUAAACGGCGGUGGUAACUAUAACCAUCCUAAGGUAGCGAAAUUCCUUGUCGGGUAAGUUCCGACCUGCACGAAUGGCGUAACGACUUCUCCACUGUCUCAACCACGAACUCGGCGAAAUUGCACUACGAGUAAACAUGCUCGUUACGCGCAGAAGGACGGAAAGACCCCGGGACCUUUACUACAGCUUGGUAUUUGUGUUCGGAACGGCUUGUGUAGGAUAGGUGGGAGGCUUCGAAGCUGAUACGCCAGUAUCGGUGGAGCCAACGUUGAAAUACCACUCUGGUCGUUCUGGAUGUCUAACCUAGGUCCGUAAUCCGGAUCAGGGACAGUGCCUGGUGGGUAGUUUAACUGGGGCGGUUGCCUCCUAAAAGGUAACGGAGGCGCCCAAAGGUUCCUCAGCCUGGUUGGCAAUCAGGUUUUGAGUGUAAGUGCACAAGGGAGCUUGACUGUGAGACUGACAAGUCGAACAGGGACGGAAGUCGGGACUAGUGAUCCGGCGGUGGCUUGUGGAAGCGCCGUCGCUCAACGGAUAAAAGGUACCCCGGGGAUAACAGGCUGAUCUUGCCCAAGAGUCCAUAUCGACGGCAUGGUUUGGCACCUCGAUGUCGGCUCGUCGCAUCCUGGGGCUGGAGUAGGUCCCAAGGGUUGGGCUGUUCGCCCAUUAAAGCGGUACGCGAGCUGGGUUUAGAACGUCGUGAGACAGUUCGGUCCCUAUCCUCUGCGCGCGCAGGAAACUUGAGAAGAGCUGUCCCUAGUACGAGAGGACCGGGAUGGACGAACCUCUGGUGUGUCAGUUGUUCUGCCAAGAGCACCGCUGAUUAGCUACGUUCGGAAGUGAUAACCGCUGAAAGCAUCUAAGCGGGAAGCAUGCUUCAAGAUGAGGUUUCCAUGGGGUUUACCCCGAGAGGCUCCCAGCUAGACUACUGGGUUGAUAGGCCGGAUGUGGAAGUGCGGUAACGCAC
rnacentral:rRNA from 1 species